UUGGAAGACGAGAAAAAAAUU
rnacentral:piRNA from 1 species